rnacentral:rRNA from 1 species
GACGAACGCUGGCGGCGUGCUUAACACAUGCAAGUCGAACGGUAAGGCCCUUCGGGGUACGACGAGUGGCGAACGGGUGAGUAACACGUGGUGAUCUGCCCUGCACUUUGGGAUAAGCCUGGGAAACUGGGUCUAAUACCGAAUAUGACCAUGGACUUCACGGUUUGUGGUGGAAAAGCUUUUGCGGUGUGGGAUGGGCCCGCGGCCUAAUCAGCUUGUUGGUGGGGUAAUGGCCUACCAAGGCGACGACGGGUAGCCGGCCUGAGAGGGUGACCGGCCACACUGGGACUGAGAUACGGCCCAGACUCCUACGGGAGGCAGCAGUGGGGAAUAUUGCACAAUGGGCGCAAGCCUGAUGCAGCGACGCCGCGUGGGGGAU